rnacentral:rRNA from 1 species
AUGGUGUCCUUUGCAGCUGCCACUUUUUCCAUGCUUGAUUGGAAGGAGAAGGCAACAAAGAGAAUAAUGAAAGUGCAGAACAAUAGAAGUGGAGGGGAAUGGGAUCGCUUGGUCAUUCAAGCAGUAAUUGUUACCAGAACCAUUGUAGACGUUUCCAAAGCUCUAUCAACGUUGUUGCUUGCAGCAUUUGGGGGAAAACAAGCGUAUUGA